GGAAUGGGGGUAAGAGUGGAGACUGGGACUAAGGACUGGAGCCAGGGCUGAGGCCGGGGCUGGGACUAGGACUAGGGCUGGGAGUAGGGCUGGUACUGGGACUGGAGCUGCUGCUGCCCAGGCCUCCCCCAGGGCUGAGCCAAGGUGGGAAGGGGUCGGGAGGACUCUGAUGGGAAAGGAGCCAAUUGGAAACAGUGGGAUAAACCGGAGGAAUUGACAUCAGUCAGAAAGAGGGAAUUUUGUAAUGGGAAAUGAGACUGUCCAUGUGAAAGGAAGGAAUCAGAUGGUAAAUACAGUGUGGGAGCAGCAGCAUGGAAGAAAUUGGUUUGUAACACAUCAUAAACUGAUCAGGAGUCCAAAAUAUGAUGUUCUGGGGAAAAAAGGUAUCUCUAAAGGUGUGUUGGUGGAAGUGUCUCAUAUAAGACACAGGGAAGAGCAGACACAGGAAGGGAGCAGGGAGCAUUGUUACAAAUGGAUCAAUAGGAACCAGCCAAGUGUUAAUUAGAGGUUCCUCUUUAUCACAAGAGCAGGGCCCUGGCAAUGAAAAGGAAAAAAAUCCACAACCCCUCCUCCAAAGCUCCUGUAUGAUCAAAAGGGUGUGGAGAAUGCUGAAUGAACUAUUACCAUUACUGCCUUAUGUGCAGAGGAUGCUUCAUGCUGCCAACACCUGUCCUUACCUGGCUGUGCUGGGCAGACCCUGUGAGCAGCACCAGCUCAUAAGUGACCUGGAUCAUGGACUUGGAGUGAGUUUGAUUUGAGAACGAGGAUACAGGACCAGUGAUGGGGAGGUUGGACACAGUACAGAGAAGAACACUUCCUGCUGCCUUCCUUCUCCAGCUCCAUAGCCCAAGCUCAGCUGAACCCAGGACAGGCUCUCCAGGCUGGAAGCCACAGUGCACCAAGGCAGACUGUGCUUCAUGAUACCAUGGAAAGAUGAAAGCACGGGUCAAAUGCAGACUCUGGAUCUGCAUUUAGCACUCAAAAGCUCCUCUGCUUUAAUCCCAGCUCCAGCAGUCCUUCCCUGUGUGGUCUUAUGGGUCCAUUUAACGCUUUUGUCUCAGUUUCUUCCAUCUCUAAUCCAGAGACAGUAUUCACAAGAAGGUGUAAGUCUUGAGUAGCAGUUCUAAAAGGGGAGUUGCCAGGUAUGUUGCUGUGGAUCUGUGAACUCAAACAUACCAAAGACAGGUAUUUCUUACAUAAAUCCAAAAUACACAUGUCACUGUAACAUGCUCAGUUCUGGAUUACUUCUGCCUAUAGGAGACAGAAUCAUGGAAUCAUUUAUGUUGACUAAGACCCUUAAGAUCACUAAGCCCGAACAUUAACACAGCACUGCCAAGGCCACCAACAAAACAUGUCCUGAAGUGCCUCAUUUACACAGCUUUUAAAUCCCUCCAGGACUGGUGACUCCACCACUGCCAUGGGCAGCUGUUAGGUUGGAUGUUUUCCCAAUAUCCAACAUAACCCUCCCCUGGCACGACUGGAGGCUGUUUCCUCACAUCCUGUCCCUUGUUCCCUGGGAGCAGAGCCUGAUCCCCACCUGGCUCCACCCUCCUGUCAGGGAGUUGUAGAGAGGGAGAAGGUCCCCCCCAAGCCUCCUUUUCUUUGCUCCCUCAGCUGCUCCCCAUCAGAUUUGUGCUCCAGACCCUUCCCCAGCUCUGUUGCCAUCCUCUGGACAUGCUCCAGCCCCUCAAUGUCUUUCUUGGAGCAAGUGGCCCAAAACUGACCCCAGGAUCUGAGGCGCAGUUGAAUAGGUCCAAACAUGUGCUGCUGUGUACAACUGACUCCCUGAGUAUUUAGAGGUUUUUUUUGAUUUAUGGAAAAAUUCCCUGUUCCCCGUGUUUUUGCAAGACUCUUUUCUGCUUUGUUUUUUUUUCCCUAGAUCACGGAUUGCUCUGGAUGGGGCCAUUUUUUACCUUGCUGCCUUUGUUUAACUAGUGUUUGGUUUGCUGCUGUUGUGGCUUGUACUUGGAUUUUUAGGUACUACCUUACCUGUUAUUAAUGAUAGAAAAAUUUCCAUAUUUAAGUGAUGACAAUUUGAUUAACCUUAAACUAUGUUUUGUUUGCUGGGACUACAAAAGCAUUUUCCAGUUGGUACUGUGGCCAAUUCUUUGAUUACAUUAUAUCCAAGAUGAUCUUAUUUCUCUUCUAUGAAAGUAAUCAAUGAACUUCAAAGAAUCACAGAAAUGUUUGCGUGGAAGGGUCCUCACAGACCAUCUCCACACUAGACCAGGUUACUCCAAGCCCUGACCAAACCAGCCUUGAACACUUCUUUAUUCUUCUAUUUCUCUCCACAUGCUAACUCAACAGAUUUAUCUAUAAAUUCUGAUGAAAGGACCAUUUAAAUCCAUAUAAAGCUAUGUUAAUUGGACUGUUAACAAAAUGAAUUGUGCAAUUGUGACUUUUUCCCAAGAAAUAGAUUGAGAUCUGAAUUACACUAUUGUAUCACUUUAAAUGAGAAGCUCUUUGAACACAGUGUGUUUUUCAUCACUACAUCUGGCACGGUGUCUGAGAGACCAGUUGGGUUUAUCUGAUUUAGUUCCUACUGCACGUGUGCAGGGGAAGUGGCUGCAUGUGAGCACUAGCACAGGGGUUUAGCAGAUAUUUUUCAUUUCUAGGUAUUUAAUAAGCAGGUUGGAGAUUCGGAUUAAUCAUCUCUUUCCCAUGUUUAGAGGACAAUAUGCGUCACCAGGAACAUUCCAUUGGACGUUGUUAGAGCAGGAAAUUUGAUUUAUAAUACAUGAGUAGAAGUGGAAGUGGGUGCCUCGCUUCACCUGUGACCAAGAUGUUCCACCUUAUCUUCUAUCAAAGCAGCUUUAUCCUCAUGCCUGAUAAGAACCUGGGAUGAAAUUCUGGGUGACUGAACCAUUAAAUUUUCCUCUGAACAUCACAAUCACAUAUAACUUUGAGGCAUAUCCCUUUAUUUGUCACACUGCUUACACAACUGUUUGUUGUAGCCUUGCCCAACUGAAAUGCAGAGACAUGUUAUACACCUUGACCUGUUCAGUUUGCCUAAUAAAAUCUAAUGUUUGGGACUCCAGUGAGGGAAAACAGUUAAAGGCCUCCAGAAAGAUGCAAAUAACUCUUUACUGUUAUAAAGUAUUAUUUGACUACAAAACCAGACCUGUUAAAUUUUCUUGGUUUAGUCCAAUCCCAGCUGUGUUGCAAAAUGCAGGUUCCAAUGGUGCUGUAACACUGGUAUAUGUUUUUUAUUUAAGUUUUUCAACCUUUAGUAACAACACCAAAUUUGAAAACCUCUUUCUGAUUUUAAGCUUUCAAUUUAAGUGGUUGUUUGGUCUCCUCCUUUUACCAUUCAAACUGAAAAUAUACACUUAGAGUGAAUGGUCUGUAUAGUUCUCUUGGCCUCUCUUUGGCUACUUAAAAAAAAUAAAAUUGGCAAUUAUUUUUAAAAGUACUGUACAAAAUAUGAAUUGAUUCUUCAGCAAAAGCCUAUAACAGUAAAUGCACUGUAAAAUGCAUAUGUUCCAAAACCUAAACACCUAAGUUGUGGAAAGAAAUAAUCCUUCAGAGAUAUUUCAUUUGAAUAUUUCUGAUCGUAAGGUGAUUGAACAGUUAUUUUGCCUAUAAUAAAAUCUUUUAUAGGGAUUGAUUUUUUUUUUAAUUUAUUUUUUAAAGACAGUAGCAGCUUGUCUGAUUAAUGAAUCUCUUUUUCUCUUUUGCCUGUGCUUAUUUCUUCCAGUGAUGCAAAUCACUUUCCCAGCUUGUAAGCUGUUUUUAUUUCUAAUGAGAAGCUUUUGAAUUUGAGAUGUAUGUAAAUAAUGUAAUUUAAUUGCUUUUUCCUUGAUAAGAAUACCCAAGUAUGUCCUUGAGGUUUAGGCUGGAUAUCACAACAAAGUUUUUCACCAGAGGGUGGUUGAAAGGCUUCCCAGGGAAGUGGUUACAGCACCAAUUCUGCCUGAGUUCAAGAAGUGUUUAGGCAAGGCUCUCAGGCACAUGGUGGGAUUCUUGGAGUGUCCUGUGUAGGGCCAGGAAUUGGACUUGAUGAUCCUUGUGAGUCCCUUCCAACUCAGCAUAUUCCAUGAUUCUAUGAUUCAGAAUCUCUCAAGCAACAGCCUCACAAGUAGGUUAUUCACAGGCUUAUUUUGUGAAAGGGCAUUGAGACAAAUAACUGUGGAAUGAAAUGCCCUUGUCAUGGCAGGGAGAGCUGGGGGAUGCUGAUAAAUGGGUGUUUUGGAGCAGUGCUUCCCAUCUCCACCUCAGUGUGUAAAUGUAUUACAGAAAUGAUUAUCACAUGCAUCCAUGUGCCUUCUGUGACAUCUGCUGAAGGUGCUGGAGGCUGCCAAGGAUGCUGAGUCCUGAGUCCUGGAAGCUGCCACCUGUAGCUAGGUGUGUGCUGCUGCUUUGGGAAAUCUAUUAAUGAAGUUUGGUGAUUGUGCUCGAUUUUUUUUAGGAUUUGAAAUGGCCAGUUUGGCCCUCUAGCUAUCUGUUACUUCAUCCCUGACUGAACUGGUCCUUCCUUGUCUGCUUUCUCUGUAGUGACUAUAGCUGCCUGAUCUUGGAAAUAUAAUUAAUUAAAUUGAAACAACUAACAUGUAUGGAGCAAAGAAGUGCCCUAAUUUUCAUUGAUACUGGGAAAAGACUUGCAAGUAUGAAGGUGUUUGGAGGUUUUGCAUUAAUAAUUGGGUUCCAAAAUUAGGUUCUAAUACUCUUCUGGCUGAAAGCUGCCCCUCGCUCCAAAGAGUCCUUCUAGAUCGGGCCUCAAAUUGAAAAACACCCGAUUUAGAUGAUGUUUCGUAUGUUUUUGUGGGAUAGUGGAGAGUCGGAGAGAUGGCGAGAUGGAGAGUCUGAGCCCGGCCCGGCUCCUCUGCCGCACCGCGGGCCAGGGCCACUGCGGCUGAGCUGCCCUGUGACAGCGGGAGGGAAAAAUAGGGGGAAACCGACUAAUUUGUGACCUUCUGACCAUUCACUUUGAAGACCUCUCCAGUCUGUAGCUUGCUAACAUA